rnacentral:rRNA from 1 species
CCUACGGGAGGCAGCAGUGAGGAAUAUUGGUCAAUGGCCGUAAGGCUGAACCAGCCAAGUCGCGUGAAGGAAGAAGGAUCUAUGGUUUGUAAACUUCUUUUAUAGGGGAAUAAAGGUAUCCACGUGUGGAUAUUUGCAUGUACCCUAUGAAUAAGCAUCGGCUAACUCCGUGCCAGCAGCCGCGGUAAUACGGAGGAUGCGAGCGUUAUCCGGAUUUAUUGGGUUUAAAGGGUGCGUAGGUUGUUUUUUAAGUCAGCGGUGAAAGUUUGUGGCUCAACCAUAAAAUUGCCGUUGAUACUGGAAGACGUGAGUGUGUUUGAGGUAGGCGGAAUGCGUGGUGUAGCGGUGAAAUGCAUAGAUAUCACGAAGAACUCCGAUUGCGAAGGCAGCUUACUAAGCCAUAACUGACACUGAAGCACGAAAGCGUGGGGAUCAAACAGGAUUAGAUACCCUUGUAGUC